GCCCUAGCCACACCUCCUCUGGCGUGCAGCACUGAGAUAGGAAGUACCUCUCAGUGCUGCACACCAGGGGAGAUGUUACUAGGUA